UACGUAGGGUGCAAGCGUUAAUCGGAAUUACUGGCGUAAAGCGUGCGCAGGCGGCUUUGCAAGACAGAUGUGAAAUCCCCGGGCUUAACCUGGGAACUGCAUUUGUGACUGCAUGGCUGGAGUGCGGCAGAGGGGGGGAUGGAAUUCCGCGUGUAGCAGUGAAAUGCGUAGAUAUGCGGAGGAACACCGAUGGCGAAGGCA
rnacentral:rRNA from 1 species